rnacentral:rRNA from 1 species
GUCUACAGCCAUGCCACCCUGAACAAGCCCAAUCCCGUCUGAUCUCGGAAGCUAAGCAGGAUCAGGCCUGGUUAGUACUUGGAUGGGAGACCACCUAGGAAGAUCAGGUGCUGUAGGCA